UGGGGAAUAUUGCACAAUGGGCGCAAGCCUGAUGCAGCCAUGCCGCGUGUAUGAAGAAGGCCUUCGGGUUGUAAAGUACUUUCAGUCGGGAGGAAGGUGUCAAGGUUAAUAACCUUGGCAAUUGACGUUACCGACAGAAGAAGCACCGGCUAACUCCGUGCCAGCAGCCGCGGUAAUACGGAGGGUGCAAGCGUUAAUCGGAAUUACUGGGCGUAAAGCGCACGCAGGCGGUUUGUUAAGUCAGAUGUGAAAUCCCCGGGCUCAACCUGGGAACUGCAUCUGAUACUGGCAAGCUGGAGUCUCGUAGAGGGGGGUAGAAUUCCAGGUGUAGCGGUGAAAUGCGUAGAGAUCUGGAGGAAUACCGGUGGCGAAGGCGGCCCCCUGGACGAAGACUGACGCUCAGGUGCGAAAGCGUGGGGAGCAAACAGG
rnacentral:rRNA from 1 species